AAAAAAAAAAAAAAAAAGAGUAGAGUAGGGUGAGUAAAAAACAAACAAGUCAAUAAAAGUAUCAAAUUCAAAACCCUAACAUCUAACAUUACAAUGACGACGACAAUACCAACCCUAAACCAAGAAUUCCAAAAACGAAAAUGCUCCAGAAUCACAAAUAUUCAAAUCCCUUCGCUAUAAAAACCUAACCCUAGCUCCAGCAACCCAAUCAAACACAGACACAAACAAACCAAAACCUUAGAAAACAAUCAAAAUCAAUAACAUAAAAUUCGAAGACGGAAACGCAAUCGCAUCGAUGAUUCAAGAAGCAGAGAAAUUGAGAGAGAGAGAGAGAG
rnacentral:misc_RNA from 1 species